ensembl:lncRNA
GGUUUAUCAAUCCAAAGCCACCUGAGGUUGACCAAUGGCACUUAGCACACAUCUUACCUGACAGUGCUGGACUGUGUAUCUGUUUUCUAACACUGUCUGGUAACGAUGUUUGUUGGGUGACCCAAUGACUGCAAAGGAUUCUCUCGCCACUUUAUCAUAGCCCCACCCAGCUUUAGUUAAAGAAUACUGGUCCGUUGGCUGUUAAACCAGACGUGCUGAAAGCUGUUUCCUCAUCCCCUCCCCCUGGGUUCUGUGUGGCUUUUGUGAUCGCAGCUGAGCUCUGAUUGGACAAGCUCAUUUUACCUGCGUGGCACAUCCUGCAACUGACACAUGAGCUCACCUGAACAUGAUAAAAAUAGAGUUACCAACACCCUACACUCUGCCCCUCCUCUUCCCAUUGCCUGGUUCUGCUUAUAUAUCUUCCUAAAUAUUGUAGAUCAUAUUUAUCCUGACAGCAUAGACAUUUAUGUGUAGUUCAGUGCCUGAGUGGAGCAAACACUCCACAACAAAGGAAUGAGACUUUGGUAAAGUAACACUAAAACUGACUAAGUCAGAUAUUGGAACUAAUCCGUAGCCUAUAUUUAAUAGUUUAGGUGGCUUUGCUUUUUAUCAGGAUUAAAAAAAACAACAGAAAGUACACAAAUACAUUGUCUAACAUUGUAACAAUGUCUAACAAUGUCUAACAUAGUGUUUUACAACAUACUGUUUGGUUAAGGUGGAAGACUCAAAUAUUAAACCACGCCCAUAUUUGCACAUCUGAGGGAGUUUUUUAUUUAUUUUUUAUUUAGUGUCACACAUGCAUGAAACUGAGUUAUGUUUGUUGUUCAUGGCUUUUUUGUAUUUUUAUAAGUACGCAUUACAAAGUCACGUCAUUUAGCUUCAUAAAGAGGCAGUACUUUAGGCUUUAGGCUUUUCAUCUCUCCUUUUGUUCUCCUGUUUUCCCUUCCGUUCUUUCAAACUUCAUUGUAACUAUAACUUGGAUCACUGCAACAGAUGGUUUUAUUGCUAUCCAGUCACAGCUCACACUGUAUUUCAUUCCUGUUUUUCUUUCAAGUACAAUAAAUUCAGCCCAGUCUACGAUAUAUCUAUCUAAAGCCUGUUAAUUGGCGUCUUACCAGACAUGGUUAGAUCUGAUUAUUAGUGUCUAAUACUGUCUGGUAAUGCCGUCCAUUACAUGGCAUUAGCGUCCAGAUGACAAAGAAAGGAAAGGAUGCUCCAAGGAUGUCAUUUGCAUUUGUACUAUUCAUGCAGUAUGAUAUCUUAGUGUUUUGGGGUUUUUUUUUUUAUUUCUUUGUGAAGGAAGUAAUACGAAUGAAUCACUUACAGAAUGCUCUGAAUCAUUUUGCCAGGUUAGUCAGGUCUUUAAAAUAGAACAGACCAAGUCGCUGGUUUAACCUGUACGAGGAACUAUGAACCCAACACUGGAAGACUGAUGCCAUUUACAAUGCUCUUCCAUGUGUCAUGAGUCAGAGUUUCUUUCCUCCUCUUCAAGAGAGCUGUGAGUCAUGUUUGUCAUCCAUCAUCCCCUGUUCAUACAGUAUAUGUGCUGAGAGUUGUGUGAUGUACCUUUCACAGUAUAAUUAUAUAGUGUGUAACCUUUGUAUGAAACAGCGGUUCGAUAAAUAUGAAUGUCAUGGUUGUUGCAUCAAAAAAGAAGCAUGUUAAUUGUUUGAAGAAGACUCGGCAGCAUGUUCUCAUAGUGUUGUCAUGGUAACUGAAUUCUACAUGGGUACCAGAUCCACAAAAAUAUGAUGACUACUCUUUAUCCAACCAAAAUGACUGUCUCCUCUCCUCUGCUGUUGGUUUAAUUUGUUCAGUUUUGGAUGCAUGUUAUGUAUUGUGCUGAAAAACAGUGAAAUAAAGUACAUGUAAAAUCAAGAUGAGCACGUCUGCAGCAUUUCUUUAGUUCCACUCAGUUGAGUCAACAUUAUAUGUGGUCAGGUAAGCUAUAUGUUAGAAGGUGUGAGUAAAUCUUGGCCUGUCUCUGCUGUUCGCCUGCUCGUUGUGCUCAGAGCGGAAUGCCUGGCUGUAACGGAGGACAGAUCUGGUUACAUGUGAACAGAGCUCCCUUUUUACGAACCUCAAUUAACCCGCAAGCUUUCCCACUCUGCCAAAAGCUCAUUGUGUUUAUCCCCCAACCGCACAGCCAACGGUGCAUCUAUCUGACACAGACGCAAGGGCAUCUGGAGCUCCGUUUCAAGUCAUAUGCAUGCUCAUGCAGGUGCAUCUGAUGUUUUAAUAUAUAUAUACCUUCACUAUUCUAUCAUUUAUAUUAAUAUCAGUCACACAUUAUAGAAUUUGUUUUAGUGCUGAUGUCCACACAUACUGUACUUCAGACCACACAGCUUGAUGGAAUGCCACUUGUCUAAGCCACAAGAUAACAUUGACAUAACAGUUGCAUGACUAUUAGUAUCAAAUAAAACAACAACAAAAACAAGAUUUUGUUGUCUUUGGUGUGUGAGCUCCAUUGACUAGAGCAGAGUAACAAGAAAUAAUUUGCAGUCAAUUUUAUGAAUGGAUAUGGUGUAUCUUUUGGCAAGAUUUCCAAAUUUUCAAGUGCUUUUUUUUUUUUUCAAACUACUACAAAUCAUGCCAGAGGUUUUAUUCACCUGUGUACAUAGCUUUUAUAUUUGUAAAUUUAUAUCAUGGCAUAAAAUGACUUUUUUAAAAAAAAUCAUACAUAAUUACAGUUACCAUACAAUUUUGGAUUAUCACUGAUAUUUAAACAAAGUAUGACUCAAUUUAGACAUAAAAUAUAACACAAUAUGAACACCCAAAAUGAAUGAUGAUUUUUGUUGUUAUUGUCAUUGUAAGAGAAUAUAAAAAGGAACUGGGUUUGUUGUAUUUAUUUCGUGCAAACCUGAUCAGAAGCUCAGAAAUGCCAAUGGACGUGUCUGAAGUGAGGCCAGCACAGUAGCCUACCAUUGCGUGACAUCACUGCAGAAAGCCACGGAGGAAUCCAGUGCUGGUCUGUGCAUGCUCAGUGCAGUCUAACUAGAUUCCUCACUCUACUGGGUGAGGUCAAAGAUUUUCCAAUGAAAUGGAACAAGUCAUCAAGAUUAACAUGUGGGCUGUAUUUAAAAAAACGGUUGUGACAUACCUGUGUUGAGAAUAUGUACUUACACACAGGGAACUCCCUGGAUUGUUUAAAAGCCUUUUUCAGGACUAAAGGAUGCAGUAUAUUCAUUAAAAUGUCAUAGCAUAAUCUUUUUGAAGCCUUAUUUAUGUUGCUUAUGUGUCUCAGGUA